rnacentral:lncRNA from 1 species
CUGGGACAAUGGCUUUGAAACUUUCAGACAGGUAAGACUAUAUAUCAGAAAAGGUACAUGUGAAAAUUCAGGUAGCAAACAUUGAUUUUUCUAUGUUUAUUUGACAUUUUUGAUCGCUGUUGUGUGACAAUUUUGAUCGUUUUACACGGAGCUCCACCAUUCUAAGGAAAACGUUUGGAUGCAUAUAUCUUUCUUAUUAUUUUAUUG